rnacentral:rRNA from 1 species
AGUGAACGCUGGCGGUAGGCCUAACACAUGCAAGUCGAACGGCAGCACAGUAAGAGCUUGCUCUUACGGGUGGCGAGUGGCGGACGGGUGAGGAAUACAUCGGAAUCUACUUUUUCUUGGGGGAUAACGUAGGGAAACUUACGCUAAUACCGCAUACGACCUACGGGUGAAAGCAGGGGAUCUUCGGACCUUGCGCGAUUGAAUGAGCCGAUGUCGGAUUAGCUAGUUGGCGGGGUAAAGGCCCACCAAGGCGACGAUCCGUAGCUGGUCUGAGAGGAUGAUCAGCCACACUGGAACUGAGACACGGUCCAGACUCCUACGGGAGGAAGCAGUGGGGAAUAUUGGACAAUGGGCGCAAGCCUGAUCCAGCCAUACCGCGUGGGUGAAGAAGGCCUUCGGGUUGUAAAGCCCUUUUGUUGGGAAAGAAAAGCAGCAGGUUAAUACCCCGCUGUUCUGACGGUACCCAAAGAAUAAGCACCGGCUAACUUCGUG